AAAAACAUAUAUUCAAGAGAUUUAAAAUACGUCAAUCUUGCUGGUGGUAAUCCUUAAACAAAAUACAUUUAAAUUGUUUUAUGGAAGAAUUAAUACAAUACUACGUAUAUUGUUUUCAUCGAUCAUUGUACGUAUGAUUCAACUUUUGUCAAAUUUGACAAUACAAUUAUAAUAUUUUUAAAGAAACAUUGCGCUAUUUCUGAACUUUGUCACAAAAUGUUGGAAUAAAUCUACUAGAGGAAGAAUACCACAUGAUGACGACCAACGAAGUUGAUAUAAAUUCAGUUAUGAAGGAUAUGAACAAGAUAAAAAGAGCAGACUUGAACGAGUUAAAAUCUCUAGCCUAUCCUCCGAGUGGUGUUAUUAACGUAAUGCAAGCAGUGUGUCUACUUCUAGGGAAUGGCAAGUGUUCCUCUUGGACAGAUUCACAGAAACAGCUCAGUAACCCAAACUCCUUUCUACAAAGACUUAAAAACGUAGACAAAGACAACAUACGGCCUGGUGUAAUGAUUGAAAUACGUAAAAAUUACACAAGUGAUCCAGAAUUCACUGUUGAAAGAAUGAUGAAAAUUUCAAAGGCAGCAGGAGCAUUAUGUAAAUGGAUUAUUGCAAUAGAUCUAUAUGAUAAACAUUUGAAAAAUGCAGCACAGACACAGAAAAAGACGACAGAAAAAACAAACAAAAGUGAAAAGUUUUCUCGGUAUUCUGUAUCAACAUUUGAACAUAUCUGGAAAUACUUAUAAAAUAAAUGGUUUUUAUUUA